CAUUUACCAAGAGAAAAUAAAGCGGGAAACUACACAAAGAUACUUCCAAAAAAGAAUGCUAGAUCUGACUAGGUCGAAGUUUUAGACGCCCAAAAUCGAAGACAACUUCAUAUUUCCAGUUUGUCACGCAAAGUUCUUCGUACUUGUACUUCCCUUCUUAGAUUUUCAGUUUUCAAGAUCAUAUUUUUCUAUAGAUUUUUAUUUAUUUUGAUUUUACUUAAAAUUUGUAAAUUGAAUGUUUAUGUUUUAAUGUUGACAAUGUUAACAUCUGUUAAAUUGGGUUAAUCUCCAAUUCUUUAUACAGCUUAGAGAUUUGUUUCGAAGUUCGAGUUUUCUGCGGUGGUGGUGGUUUGUAGUGAUGUUUCGAAGGUAUAAGAGCGGAGUAAGGUUGUUCAGGGUUGCUGGUGCUGCUUGUACGGUCUGGUGGGGAUUCAAAGAUCUGGGUGGCGCUAUGGCAGCGCUUGUUGUUCCGAAGUUUUGGUCUAUAGUCUUUUUGUUGGCCUUCUUUUUGAAUGCUUUAGUUGCUUUUUUAUCUAUUAUACUACCUCCGUUUCUUUUUAA